GAGUUUGAUCUUGGCUCAGGAUGAACGCUGGCGGCGUGCCUAAUACAUGCAAGUCGAGCGAACGGACGAGAAGCUUGCUUCUCUGAUGUUAGCGGCGGACGGGCGAGUAACACGUGGAUAACCUACCUAUAAGACUGGGAUAACUUCGGGAAACCGGAGCUAAUACCGGAUAAUAUUUUGAACCGCAUGGUUCAAAAGUGAAAGACGGUCUUGCUGUCACUUAUAGAUGGAUCCGCGCUGCAUUAGCUAGUUGGUAAGGUAACGGCUUACCAAGGCAACGAUGCAUAGCCGACCUGAGAGGGUGAUCGGCCACACUGGAACUGAGACACGGGUCCAGACUCCUACGGGAGGCAGCAGUAGGGAAUCUUCCGCAAUGGGCGAAAGCCUGACGGAGCAACGCCGCGUGAGUGAUGAAGGUCUUCGGAUCGUAAAACUCUGUUAUUAGGGAAGAACAUAUGUGUAAGUAACUGUGCACAUCUUGACGGUACCUAAUCAGAAAGCCACGGCUAACUACGUCG
rnacentral:rRNA from 1 species